GACGAACCGUGCGAACGUUGUUCGGAAUCACUGGGCUUAAAGGGCGCGUAGGUGGUUUGCCAAGUCGGGGUUGAAAUCUUUCGGCUUAACCGGAAAAGUGGCUUCGAUACUGGCAAGCUGGAGGGAGGUAGGGGCGGAUGGAACUUCCGGUGGAGCGGUGAAAUGUGUUGAUAUCGGAAGGAACGCCGGUGGCGAAAGCGAUCCGCUGGACCUCUUCUGACACUGAGGCGCGAAAGCUAGGGGAGCAAACGGG
rnacentral:rRNA from 1 species